rnacentral:rRNA from 1 species
UGGGGAAUAUUGGGCAAUGGGCGAAAGCCUGACCCAGCAACGCCGCGUGAAGGAAGAAGGCCCUCGGGUUGUAAACUUCUUUUGUCAGGGACGAAGCAAGUGACGGUACCUGACGAAUAAGCCACGGCUAACUACGUGCCAGCAGCCGCGGUAAUACGUAGGUGGCAAGCGUUAUCCGGAUUUACUGGGUGUAAAGGGCGUGUAGGCGGGACUGCAAGUCAGAUGUGAAAACCAUGGGCUCAACCCAUGGCCUGCAUUUGAAACUGUAGUUCUUGAGUGUCGGAGAGGCAGGCGGAAUUCCGUGUGUAGCGGUGAAAUGCGUAGAUAUACGGAGGAACACCAGUGGCGAAGGCGGCCUGCUGGACAAUAACUGACGCUGAGGCGCGAAAAGCGUGGGGAGCAAACAGGAUUAGAUACC